ACGAGUGAGGGUCUUUCUCGGGCCCGACCUCCCAACCCUUUGUUUACCGAACCUCUGUUGCUUCGGCGGACCCGUCUCACGACCGCCGGAGGAUUGCUGAAAAGGCGUCCUCUGGCCCGCGUCCGCCGGCAGCCCCCCUUGAAAAUUCUGAAUAAAUCGUGUCUUUAUUUCUAAGUCUCAUGAUUCAUAAAUCAAAAGCA
rnacentral:misc_RNA from 1 species